GCACUGCUGACGAGUCUCAAGCAGGAGGAAACAGCUGUCCAGUGU
rfam:Echinostoma caproni strain Egypt genome assembly, scaffold: ECPE_scaffold0012173